GGUGCAGCAGGCGCGAAAACUUUACCAUGCUGGAAACAGCGAUAAGGGGACCUCGAGUGCCAGGUUACAAAUCUGGCUGUCGUGAUGCCUAAAAAGCAUUGCAUAGCAAGGGCCGGGCAAGACCGGUGCCAGCCGCCGCGGUAACACCGGCGGCUCGAGUGGUAACCGUUAUUAUUGGGUCUAAAGGGUCUGUAGCCGGCCGGAUAAGUCUCUUGGGAAAUCCAGCAGCUCAACUGUUGGGCUUUCAGGAGAUACUGUCUGGCUCGAGGCCGGGAGAGGUGAGAGGUACUUCAGGGGUAGGGGUGAAAUCUUGUAAUCCUUGAAGGACCACCAGUGGCGAAGGCGUCUCACCAGAACGGACCUGACGGCAAGGGACGAAAGCUAGGGGCACGAACCGGAUUAGAUACCCGGGUAGUCCUAGCCGUAAACGAUACUCGCUAGGUGUCGGCCACGGUGCGACCGUUGUCGGUGCCGUAGGGAAGCCGUGAAGCGAGCCACCUGGGAAGUACGGCCGCAAGGCUGAAACUUAAAGGAAUUGGCGGGGGAGCAC
rnacentral:rRNA from 1 species